UGGGUAACCUGCCCCUAGCUCUGGGAUAACUGCGGGAAACUGUAGCUAAUACCGGAUGUGACACGAGACUGCAUGGUCUUCGUGUGGAAAGAUUUAUCGGCUGGGGAUGGGCCCGCGGCCUAUCAGCUUGUUGGUGGGGUAGUGGCCUACCAAGGCGACGACGGGUAGCCGGCCUGAGAGGGUGACCGGCCACACUGGGACUGAGACACGGCCCAGACUCCGUACGGGAGCAG
rnacentral:rRNA from 1 species